rnacentral:pre_miRNA from 1 species
UCUUAUGAAUGAGCAAAUAAAAGCGGUUUCUUGAGAUGGAAUCUACUCCUAAUGAAGAUGCUGUGAA